AGAUUGAGAGUUUGAUCCUGGCUCAGGAUGAACGCUAGCGGUAGGCUUAACACAUGCAAGUCGAGGGGCAUCACGGGUAGCAAUACUUGGUGGCGACCGGCGCACGGGUGAGUAACGCGUAUGCAACCUACCUUAUACAGGGGGAUAGCUCUCGGAAACGAGGAUUAAUACCCCAUACGAUUAAUGAAUGGCAUCAUUUAUUAAUAAAAGCUUCGGCGGUAUAAGAUGGGCAUGCGUGCCAUUAGGUAGUUGGUAAGGUAACGGCUUACCAAGCCUUCGAUGGCUAGGGGUUCUGCAAGGAAGAUCCCCCACACUGGUACUGAGACACGGACCAGACUCCUACGGGAGGCAGCAGUGAGGAAUAUUGGUCAAUGGGCGAAAGCCUGAACCAGCCACUCCGCGUGCAGGAAGACGGCCCUAUGGGUUGUAAACUGCUUUUAUAUAGGAAUAAGGGAUUAUACGCGCUAUAGUUUUUGCAUGUACUAUAUGAAUAAGCAUCGGCUAACUCCGUGCCAGCAGCCGCGGUAAUACGGAGGAUGCAGGCGUUAUCCGGAUUUAUUAGGUUUAAAGGGUGCGUAGGCGGCUUUAUAAGUCAGGGGUUAAAUCUAAGGGCUCAACCUUUAGUUGCCUUUGAUACUGUAGGGCUAGAGUACGAAUGAGGUAGGCGGAAUGUGCAGUGUAGCGGUGAAAUGCUUAGAUAUUGCACAGAACAUCGAUUGCGAAGGCAGCUUACUAGGCCGUUACUGACGCUGAUGCACGAAAGCGUGGGGAUCAAACAGGAUUAGAUACCCUGGUAGUCCACGCCGUAAACGAUGAUCACUUGCUGUUGGCGAUACACAGUCAGUGGCAAAGGGAAACCGAUAAGUGAUCCACCUGGGGAGUACGUUCGCAAGAAUGAAACUCAAAGGAAUUGACGGGGGCCCGCACAAGCGGAGGAACAUGUGGUUUAAUUCGAUGAUACGCGAGGAACCUUACCUGGGUUUGAACGUAUGUUGCAUGAUUUGGAAACAGAUCUUUCCUUCGGGACUACAUACGAGGUGCUGCAUGGUUGUCGUCAGCUCGUGCCGUGAGGUGUCGGCUUAAGUGCCAUAACGAGCGCAACCCUCAUUGCCAGUUACCAGCACAUAAUGGUGGGGACUCUGGCGAAACUGCCGGCGUAAGCUGUGAGGAAGGUGGGGAUGACGUCAAAUCAGCACGGCCCUUAUAUCCAGGGCUACACACGUGUUACAAUGGUCGGUACAACGGGCAGCCACUUGGCGACAAGGAGCUAAUCCCCAAAGCCGAUCUCAGUUCGGAUCGAAGUCUGCAACUCGACUUCGUGAAGGUGGAUUCGCUAGUAAUCGCAUAUCAGCCAUGAUGCGGUGAAUACGUUCCCGGGCCUUGUACACACCGCCCGUCAAGCCAUGGAAGCUUGGGGCGCCUGAAGUCUGUAACCGCAAGGAGCGGCCUAGGGCGAAACAGAUGACUGGGGCUAAGUCGUAACAAGGUAGCCGUAGAGUACACCGCG
rnacentral:rRNA from 1 species